rnacentral:tRNA from 1 species
GCCUAGUUAGCUUGGUUGGUAGCGCGUCUGCCUUGUAAGCGCUAGGGCGCGGGUUCGAUUCCCGCCCGGGGCG